GACGAACCGUACGAACGUUAUUCGGAAUCACUGGGCUUAAAGCGUGUGUAGGCGGAUCGGUAAGUACCUUGUGAAAUCCCACAGCUUAACUGUGGAACUGCUCGGUAUACUGCCAGUCUUGAGCCAGCUAGGGGCUACCGGAACAAAUGGUGGAGCGGUGAAAUGCGUAGAUAUCAUUUGGAACGCCAAUGGUGAAAACAGGUAGCUGGGGCUGUGCUGACGCUGAGACACGAAAGCCAGGGGAGCAAACGGG
rnacentral:rRNA from 1 species